rnacentral:rRNA from 1 species
GACAGAGGGUGCAAACGUUGUUCGGAAUACUGGCGUAAAGCGUGUGUAGGCGGCUACAUAAGUCGGAUGUGAAAGCCCCGGGCUCAACCCGGGAAGUGCACUCGAUACUGCGUAGCUUGAGUCUCGGAGAGGUUGGUGGAAUUCUCGGUGUAGAGGUGAAAUUCGUAGAUAUCGAGAGGAACACCGGUGGCGAAGGCGGCCAACUGGACGAAGACUGACGCUGAGACACGAAAGCGUGGGGAGCAAACAGG